UAAACGGCUUUGAAGAGAACCAUCGUUUUAUACGUUCGAUCAGAGAAUUGCUGGUUGGUGAAAAGCAACUCGACAGAUAAGGCGAGUAUCACUCUGAGCUGUAUAGUUGAACUUAUAGUAGGCUAUACUGGACACACUCAUUAUCGUGUAGCAUAUUGUUAUAGCGUUAUGCUUGAGGUAAUCUUAUAAGAUUACGAAUAAAGGUGGUACCACGCAAAAGCGUCCUUUUU
rnacentral:ncRNA from 1 species